GACGAACGCUGGCGGCGUGCUUAACACAUGCAAGUCGAACGGAAAGGCCCUGCUUUUGUGGGGUGCUCGAGUGGCGAACGGGUGAGUAACACGUGAGUAACCUGCCCUUGACUUUGGGAUAACUUCAGGAAACUGGGGCUAAUACCGGAUAGGAGCUCCUGCUGCAUGGUGGGGGUUGGAAAGUUUCGGCGGUUGGGGAUGGACUCGCGGCUUAUCAGCUUGUUGGUGGGGUAGCGGCUUACCAAGGCUUUGACGGGUAGCCGGCCUGAGAGGGUGACCGGCCACAUUGGGACUGAGAUACGGCCCGGACUCCUACGGGAGGCAGCAGUGGGGAAUAUUGCACAAUGGGCGGAAGCCUGAUGCAGCAACGCCGCGUGCGGGAUGACGGCCUUCGGGUUGUAAACCGCUUUCGCCUGUGACGAAGCGUGAGUGACGGUAAUGGGUAAAGAAGCACCGGCUAACUACGUG
rnacentral:rRNA from 1 species